GAGGACGACGACUCCAGGUCAGCUAACGCACCACUCCGACCCAGUGUGCGCUAAUCAAUGAUCAUCAACAGUAUCUGUGCACCGGUUACUUCGUCAGGUACCAAACAAAUCUGACGAAUUCAUUUUGUCUGAGGUGACAUUUUCUUAGGAGUUUAAAAAUGUUUUUGUGAAGAAGUUAUUUAUCUAUAAAAACCAAUCAAUGAAUUUUUCCAGUAGAUUUAUUGUCUCUUUUAAUGCUUCAUAUUUGACCUCAAUACGUUUUGGUACAGACCAAAUUUUGUCACAGAAACCUCAUUUUCUUAAAAGACGAGGUGUUUUCAGUUACACAGUUAAAACUGAAACUGUUUGUUCUUUGUCAUAGUUUAUUCAUUUUUUAUCUUUCUUUAUUUGUUGUAUUACUCAUUUUACAACAUUUUGGUAUUAUCAUGUGUAGAGCUGCAACGAUUUGUCAAUCCAUUAGUCGAUCAAAGGAAAAUUAUUUUUUUAUACAAAAAUGUCAGUAAUUUAAUGGUUCAAAGUUCUGUCUCACGUUAAAGUGAAUAUUUUGGGGUUUUGGACAAAACAAGAAAGUUUGAAGACGUCACCUUGUGCUCUGGGAAAUGAUAAUGACCCUUCUUUUUUAUGUUUUCUGAUGACAACGAUAAAAAACAAAUAGCAUAUUAAUUAAUAAUGAAAAUAGUAAUUAAUUGUUGCCUGAUUUGUGUGUAUUGCUUUACCAUUUACACUUGGACCGUCUUAUUAUCUGUAAAGAUCUUUGAAUUCCACUAACUUCUAUGAAAAGGUAUGUAAAUAAAGUUUGAUUGAUUCAUUGAAAAAAGUAUUAUCUGAUAUUGGUUAAAGCAAAAACACAAUUCCUCAGCAAAUAAACUCUAAUGAAGAAGAUCAUGUUCUAUGAUUGAAAGCAGCAACUAAAGCGAUCUUGUGUUUACAUUGUUUUGUUUUGUUUAUUGAUGACUAAUAACCUGUUAUCAACUGUCUUUUAUAUACAGAUGUUUAUGUGUUUGUUUCUGUGAUGUAGCGCAUUUGAGUUCGUUGUUUCUGUAACUUGUACAAUGUCAAUAAAGGUUUUGAAUAUUGAAUAACGAUGGCUAACGUUCAACAGAUGGAGAAACGGACGUUACCUUCAUUAAAUAACGGAAACACAGGUUGUAACAGGUGCUCGUGCCCAACAGCGUCCUCCCUGCGACGCUGCUCCUUUGAGGUGCUGCACCAGUGCAUCCUCCGUUGGGGGGGAGGAUUUGCUUCAUUCCUCCCUCUUCUCUUUGUGAACAACUCGAGACGAGCCGGAUCGAUGAUGAGCUGGCUGCUGAUGUGAUCGUACAGGAGAAGUGUGAAGCUCUCCACAAUGGAAACAACCUCCUCUGGAACGCUGAUGUGAGAAGAGAUACCUGGGAUGCUGAUGACAUGGCAACAGAGGCGUUCAACAGCUCUCAUUCCAGAGGAGGUCGUUUCCACUUCACAAUUCAAUACACAACUCAACAUCCAACAAGCUCGCCUUGAAUAAGAGAAACUAAAAAAUACUUUUAAAAUACUUUCAAAGUACUUAUACUUUACUUGAGUACUUCCAUUUUGAAGAUUUUACUCUACUAUACUUCAGAGGCAAAUACUUUUACUUCAACACAUUCACAACAUUGGAAGCUAUAGUUACUAUUUUGCAUAUAAAUAUUUUAAACGUUAAGUUAAAAUGAGCUAAAAUUCCACAAGCAACAACUUUAAAUAACAAUAUUGAUAUUAAUAUGCAUCUUCUGCGUGACGAGUACUUUAUGUACCUUUACUGAAGUAAAGUUUUUUCUUAAUCCUGGUCUUUUCUUUGUAAUAAGUAUUUUUAUAUUUAGACACUACUUCUUUUACUUUAAUAAAAUUUCUGGAUUCUU